GUUGGGAUAGCUCAGUUGGUAGAGCAGAGGACUGAAAAUCCUCGUGU
rnacentral:tRNA from 4 species